UGGGGAAUCUUGGACAAUGGGGGCAACCCUGAUCCAGCCAUGCCGCGUGAGUGAUGAAGGCCUUAGGGUCGUAAAGCUCUUUCGCCUGUGAAGAUAAUGACGGUAGCAGGUAAAGAAACCCCGGCUAACUCCGUGCCAGCAGCCGCGGUAAUACGGAGGGGGUUAGCGUUGUUCGGAAUUACUGGGCGUAAAGCGCACGUAGGCGGACCAGAAAGUUGGGGGUGAAAUCCCGGGGGCUCAACCCCGGAACUGCCUCCAAAACUAUUGGUCUAGAGUUCGAGAGAGGUGAGUGGAAUUCCAAGUGUAGAGGUGAAAUUCGUAGAUAUUUGGAGGAACACCAGUGGCGAAGGCGGCUCACUGGCUCGAUACUGACGCUGAGGUGCGAAAGUGUGGGGAGCAAACAGGAUUAGAUACCCUGGUAGUCCACACCGUAAAACGAUGAAUGCCAGUCGUCGGGUAGCAUGCUAUUCGGUGACACACCUAACGGAUUAAGCAUUCCGGCCUGGGGAGUACGGUCGCAAGGUU
rnacentral:rRNA from 1 species